AUUAUUGACUGUGAUCACUACGCUGUGUACUAGGUCUCCGCCUGGGUCACGUGGAAUAUUAAUCUUUCUCCCUACUUUCUCUGAUCUGGCCUUUACACCUUCCCUCACGUAUAGAUAACAUGAUGGACUGACUUGUCCACACUCGUCCUGCUGCUUGGGAGUCAGGUGUGCGUGAUGGCUUUCCCACUGUGGUAAAGGUUACUAUCCGCCCACUCCAGUCUAACCAGUGUCAUUUUCCGUAAGAAUAUAGUUGUAGCUGGCAUGUGCAAUUUUUAAGAGACCUGUACUCCUCAGCCCCUGUGUGACGAGAGCUUCAACCAGACAGAUGACAACAGGGGAUGGCAGAGACGAGAUGGAAGGACCCGGGGGACCGGAGUGGCCAGAAGCUUGCCCAUCUUCCAAGACUACCACCCAUGAGAAAAAUAAACGUCAUUCUUUACGCUG